ACUUUGAUCUGCUCUCUCUCCUGACCAGUUGAAAGAAAUUCUGUCCUAGAACUUUCAGUCCAGAUAAGAUUCCUGUGUUCCUGGUCGACUUAUCUUCCCUAUAAUUAUGUAAAAACCAGUUUUGGUGAGGAUUGGAGAGAGAGAGAGAGAUGAGAAUGACUCCAAACCUCUGACCCUGGCAACUAGAAGAUCAGGAGACCAUGCCCUUACACUGAGAUUGGUGGUGCUGUCUAACGUGCAUGUUUUUGGACCCAAGCUUAACUUUUCAAAUGUGGAAUGCUAGGCCUUCAUUGCAACAGAUGCUCACUUCAAAGCCAGGAUUAGAACUCUUCACGCCUGGCUUGGAAUUCCAGCUCCAUCAGCUCAUUAGAUGCGCAGGCCUGGGAAAAUGCACACGCUCUCUGCAGCCUUGGUUUUCUCCUGGUGCCGGAGAAAGAAGAGUUCCACCUCCUAACACUGCGGCAAGAAUUCAGGGAGAUCGGUCCAUAGGAUGCUUUGCAGAGGUUUGGCGUGGAUUCUUUGACUCAGUGACUGUUUUAUUCAGCACCCGCUCCAAACCAGUCAGCAUUCUAG
ensembl:lncRNA